CCUACGGGUGGCAGCAGUGCGGAAUCUUGGUCAAUGGGCGCGAGCCUGAACCAGCCAAGUCGCGUGCGGGAAGACGGUCCUAUGGAUUGUAAACCUCUUUUGUCGGGGAGCAAAAGACGCCACGCGUGGCGUUCCGCGAGUACCCGCAGAACACGCAUCGGCUAACUCCGUGCCAGCAGCCGCGGUAAUACGGAGGAUGCGAGCGUGAUCCGGAUUUAUUGGGUUUAAAGGGUGCGCAGGCGGAAGAUCAAGUCAGCGGUAAAAUUGAGAGGCUCAACCUCUUAGAGCCGUUGAAACUGGUUUUCGUGAGGGAGCGAGAAGUAUGCGGAAUGCGUGGUGUAGCGGUGAAAUGCAUAGAGAUCACGCAGAACUCCGAUUGCGAAGGCAGCAUACCGGCGCUCAACUGACGCUCAUGCACGAAAGUGUGGGUAUCGAACAGGAUUAGAUACCCCGGUAGUC
rnacentral:rRNA from 1 species